rnacentral:rRNA from 1 species
UACAGAGGGGGCAAGCGUUGUUCGGAAUUACUGGGCGUAAAGGGCACGUAGGCGGCCUUCUAAGUCAGACGUGAAAUCCCUCGGCUCAACCGGGGAACUGCGUCUGAGACUGAAAGGCUUGAAUCCGGGAGAGGGAUGUGGAAUUCCAGGUGUAGCGGUGAAAUGCGUAGAUAUCUGGAGGAACACCGGUGGCGAAGGCGGCAUCCUGGACCGGUAUUGACGCUGAUGCGCGAAAGCGUGGGGAGCGAACAGG